ensembl:lncRNA
AGCACAUUAUAUAACACAAAGAAACAGGACUUGGGAGACUUCCUUUUGCCUGCACUAUUACCUCUGUGGAAACAGCGUGACCACUAUGCUAUCACAUAUCAAACCAACCAACAUUUUCCCGAGGAAGGACUACAAUUUGAAGAGCAAAUGUUGCUCUAACAGCAGACCACUUCCUCUCAGCCCAGCACCCAGACCCUCUUGCUUUAUGCAGGGAUGGAGAGCAGAAAGCCUGAAGCUCUCAAAAGGAAGAGAGUGCCCUUCAUAUACUAAUGAACAUUUAAUUGCCUGUAAAGCAUCUCAAGGAACUGAAAACUGUCCAGGUGAAAGAGAAAAACUGUAUUCGGAUGGAGGUGGGAGAGCUGCAGUCAUAUACUGGCUCUGGAUGAAUUUUCUGAAUCUGUUGUUAAAGCCUACAUUGAUUUGCAAAAAGUGAAAAUUAAAAACAUCAGGCUGGCAUGGAGAAGAUUAUUUACAACUCAUAUUUAGAUGGAUUGAUGUGAGACAUGGAAAGAGAUUUGAGAUGGGGCAAUGUGAAGGAGGUGGAGCUUCUGGGGAAUAGCGAAUCACAGAGGAUGACAGACUGCAGAGAGGCAAGUGACUGAAGCCUGGGGCUGUUGGGCAUUUUGAGACAGAGCUCUCAUGGAACAAUGCUCAUCAGGCGAAGGGGAAGCAGAUAAAGGAGAGGACCACAAACAGGCCUUGUGAUAGCAUGUGCUGUAGAAGGAAAGAGUCUGGGAAAACAUAUUUGUCAGAUGUGAAAUAAAAGGCACCAGAAGAAACCUGAUCUGGCAAGGAUUACUUUUUCAUGGCUAGAGACGUUUCUGGAUAAGAGCACGAAAUAUACUAUUUUGCCUUUUCAAUCACAAAGUUGUCUGAACUUAUGCUUCUGUCAGGAAAAAAAAAACCACCACAAAAAGAGCUCAGGUCUACCACAUAUUGUGGGGCUGUUAUAUUUUUUGGUUUAAUGUCAGGAUUUAGUUGCAAGUUUGGAAUUUUAUUACUCUUUUUAUUACUUGAGACAGUAAAAGGGGGCAAGGUAUGUGCACUGAAAACUUCUCAUGUCUGGUUGCUGGGAUUUUUGAAGUCUUUUAUCAAGGCAAAGGGACAAUAAUACAGAUUAUUUUAGAUUAUGUGAUGGAUUUUGCAUGAAAAUGCUUGCAGUCAUGAAAAUUUCAUUGAACUAUAGUGUUUUUUUUACUGGCUGGACAUCUCUGAGCUCCAUACCUGAACAUAAAACAAUGGCUGUUUUAGCCAAAAGUAAAUUUUGUGGUUAAAUUUGGCAAACUGUUUUGAUACAUGAAAAAUCAUUCUGUUUAUACUUUCUAGUAUCUUCUAUAAUUCAAAUUUGCAUUGUGUAAACCCAAGCCAGAAGUUUCAGAUUUUCACACAGUCAUUUUCUCUGUAUCAAAUGAUAUGAUGGAGACAGGAGGAAUGCAUGCUUUGUGCAUAUUCAGCAGAUAUUUAUAACUUUACAAUAAUCAUAUAUAAAAAAAGUUCUGUUUCAUGAACUUAAAUGCUUAAGUUGAGUUGAAAUUAUGAGUUCAAUGUUCUCUAUAAUUGUCAAUGUGUAUGGACAAGCAUGACUCUAAUAUAAAUCCUAUUCUGUUUCAGGAUAAGUCAAGUGAGCACUAAUAAGGAAACUUUUUUUCUGGAAUAAAAUAAAUAAAUACAUAAACAUAUUCUGAACCAU